UUAUUGGAUCCAGACUUUGAUUAUGGCUCAGGAUGAACGCUGGCUACAGGCUUAACACAUGCAAGUCGAGGGGAAACGAUAUUGGAAGCUUGCUUCCGAUAGGCGUCGACCGGCGCACGGGUGAGUAACGCGUAUCCAACCUGCCCAUCACUUGGGGAUAACCUUGCGAAAGUAAGACUAAUACCCAAUGAUAUCUCUAGAAGACAUCUGAAUGAGAUUAAAGAUUCAUCGGUGAUGGAUGGGAAUGCGUCUGAUUAGCUUGUUGGCGGGGUAACGGCCCACCAAGGCGACGAUCAGUAGGGGUUCUGAGAGGAAGGUCCCCCACAUUGGAACUGAGACACGGUCCAAACUCCUACGGGAGGCAGCAGUGAGGAAUAUUGGUCAAUGGACGAGAGUCUGAACCAGCCAAGUAGCGUGCAGGAUGACGGCCCUAUGGGUUGUAAACUGCUUUUAUAAGGGAAUAAAGUGGGAGUCGUGACUCCUUUUGCAUGUACCUUAUGAAUAAGGACCGGCUAAUUCCGUGCCAGCAGCCGCGGUAAUACGGAAGGUCCGGGCGUUAUCCGGAUUUAUUGGGUUUAAAGGGAGCGUAGGCCGGAGAUUAAGCGUGUUGUGAAAUGUAGAUGCUCAACAUCUGCACUGCAGCGCGAACUGGUUUCCUUGAGUACGCACAAAGUGGGCGGAAUUCGUGGUGUAGCGGUGAAAUGCUUAGAUAUCACGAAGAACUCCGAUUGCGAAGGCAGCUCACUGGAGCGCAACUGACGCUGAAGCUCGAAAGUGCGGGUAUCGAACAGGAUUAGAUACCCUGGUAGUCCGCACGGUAAACGAUGGAUGCCCGCUGUUGGUCUGAAUAGGUCAGCGGCCAAGCGAAAGCAUUAAGCAUCCCACCUGGGGAGUACGCCGGCAACGGUGCAACUCAAAGGAAUUGACGGA
rnacentral:rRNA from 1 species